CCUACGGGCGGCAGCAGUGAGGAAUAUUGGGCAAUGGCCGGAAGGCUGAACCAGCCAAGCCGCGUGAAGGACGAAGGUGCCAAGCAUUGUAAACUUCUUUUGUCAAGGGACAAAAUCAGGCUCGUGAGCCUGACCGAGGGUACUUGAAGAACAAGCAUAGGCUAACUCCGUGCCAGCAGCCGCGGUAAUACGGAGGAGGCGAGCGUUAUCCGGAUUUACUGGGUGUAAAGGGAGCGUAGACGGUGAUGUAGGUCUGGAGUGAAAGCCCGGGGCCCAACCCCGGGACUGCUUUGGAAACUGUGUAACUGGAGUACAGGAGGGGCAGGUGGAAUUCCUGGUGUAGCGGUGAAAUGCGUAGAUAUCAGGAGGAACACCAGCGGCGAAGGCGGCCUGCUGGACUGAAACUGACGUUGAGGCUCGAAAGCGUGGGGAGCAAACAGGAUUAGAUACCCGUGUAGUC
rnacentral:rRNA from 1 species